UCCCGCAGCUGCACUUCCUGUCAUGUGAUCCGGCGGUGCGUCGACGUCACAGUGACGGCUGACCGGGCACGCAGGCACGCAGCGCUGUAUGUUGCAGAGUUUGAAGUCUAAACUAACUAACUAAUCAGCGGCAAUAAAAUGGAAAAGAUCCAUAACCGCAGCAGCAUUACCUGACGGACACCUCCAACAGGUCCAGUGGGAUUUCCCGGCGAGGAAAACCCCGCGAGAGAAGACGGCCGCUGCGCUGCUGCAACAAACAACCAGCACAAAUGUCUCGGAUUGAGGGUCGUCGGGAGUCUCUGCCUGCGGUACAACAGGCGGUGCGGCGGCGUUUCUCAGGGCCGCUGCUGCUGCCUCCUCUGUGGAGAAGGCACUCCUGCCAGGAGCACCCAUGUGA